rnacentral:tRNA from 1 species
GGUGAUGUAGCUCAAAUGGUAGAGCGCUCGCUUAGCAUGCGAGAGGUACCAGGAUCAAUACUUGGCAUCUCCA